CAAUUUUCGAACGAGAAAACGUGGGCUGUCUGGGAAUUUUUUUAGUCGGCCAGCUGACAGAGCGUGCUGUUUGCUGCUGUAGCCCUGUCCAAUCUACUAUCUAGUUGCUGCUGGAGUUUCCUUUUCAGCUGAAAGUUUUGAGUUGAAAAAUGUCUUCUCAAAAAGCACCAAACUCCGUAAAAUCGAGCACGAAACCGCACUGGUUCGCUAGCAGAUGCACUUUUGAGGCACGCCGGUAACUGACAAGGUCGGUUUUUUUCAAAGUGAGUGAAAAUUUGCACGGUCUACCCGCCGGACUGACUCAAAAAACUGCGAGACACCAACUUGGAAAAGUGGAAUUACUUCGAAACAAAAAUAUCAGAUUUUGGCAAGAGAUACAGAGUAGUUUUCGCAAUGUUUUUCAACGUAAAAAUAGACGAGAAACUUUGUGCGGCUCAGUCUAGGGUGUAUAACCGCCAAACCGAAGCGUAUUUAAACCUAAAUGCAUUUUUAUUUUAUUUAAAAACAAUUACAAAAUAUGUUCAGUUGAUCUAACUGACGUUCGCUGGGUAGCUUUCCUUGGGGUGGAACUUUUCCUUUAAAAAGCCACAAAGUGCUACUUAAGAAUAUUUCUCUACGACUCCAUGAUGUGACUAUUUACCUCAAACAUCUCAACCAAGAACCGCUCGUUUUUUCGCUUUCGUUCGUUCAUUUUCUAUCUAAAAAAAUUGUUUUUAUUAAAUCUUUUUUUGAGCAAUUUUGCAAGAACAGUUUGUACAGUGUUUUAAAAUAUGGAUUUCGCAUGGAGUCUGCUGAUUCCGAGCUCGCGUUGGCUGCAUUAAUCUAAGUAUUAUGCAUCUUCAGAGUUCGACCCGAUCAAACCAUCUCCGAAAACGCAAGCCACUGGUGCUUUGGAAACAUCAGGAAUAAAUUCAUUUCCUCGACGGCUCAAAAGCCCCAAAAAACCUAACCAGAUUUUUGAGGUUCCAGUUGUGAAAAAUAUGCAUUUUAAAUGAGCAAAUCAACAAAAAAAUGCAGUAAUUCCCAGACCCAAUAUCGUAUUAUAUAAUUUUUCCGCAACAGCCGCCACACAUGGUCAAGGAUUUUUAUUUUUGUCCCAAAUAUCGCCGAUUUGAAUUUUUCUGGAUAUUUUCUUUCAUGUGAAACAGGCUUAUCCAUAAAUUGGUUUCGUCUAUCCCAUCCGGCGUUAGCUUUAGCAGGUUGCAAAUGUAAACAGUUUUGUUGGCAAUCGAUAAAUAAUUUUACAUUGUCUUUAUCGGUUUCACUCACUUCCACUGUUAGUUUAAACAUGAAUUAGCCGAAGGUGCGAAAUGUACAAUAAGAGAUUCUUAAACGGCCCCAUUAAGUGUUAAAAAUAAAACUGUUUGGACCGAAAUUUAAAUUCCGAUAUAACCUUGAUAAUAGACUACAAUAAAUAAUCAAGAUUCUAUUUUCGUAUCAAUAAGUAAACGUGGAUGUUUAAAACGAUCCAACUAAUAAAGAUUUAUUAUAGAGAAAAUAUAUGAGUUGCCAGUACUAA